GCUGCAUCAGGUGCUUGUGACU
rnacentral:miRNA from 1 species